rnacentral:rRNA from 1 species
UUGAACGCUGGCGGCAGGCCUCACACAUGCAAGUCGCACGGUAACAGGAAGAAGCUUGCUUCUUUGCUGACGAGUGGCGGACGGGUGAGUAAUGUCUGGGAAACUGCCUGAUGGAGGGGGAUAACUACUGGAAACGGUAGCUAAUACCGCAUAACGUCGCAAGACCAAAGAGGGGGACCUUCGGGCCUCUUGCCAUCGGAUGUGCCCAGAUGGGAUUAGCUAGUAGGUGGGGUAACGGCUCACCUAGGCGACGAUCCCUAGCUGGCCUGAGAGGAUGACCAGCCACACUGGAACUGAGACACGGUCCAGGCUCCUACGGGAGGCAGCAGUGGGGAAUAUUGCACAAUGGGCGCAAGCCUGAUGCAGCCAUGCCGCGUGUAUGAAGAAGGCCUUCGGGUUGUAAAGUACUUUCAGCGGGGAGGAAGGGAGUAAAGUUAAUACCUUUACUCAUUGACGUUACCCGCAGAAGAAGCACCGGCUAACUCCGUG